rnacentral:lncRNA from 1 species
CUAUUUUGAAGCUAAAUGGGACUAAUCAUAAACAAUGGGUUGAAUCUCUCAUGAUUAAUCUUACCAUCAUGAAGUUGGACUUGGUCUUGAGAGAGGACUCUCUUCCUAAGCCCACUGUUGAAACUUCUGUCGAUGAAAAGAAGCUUCAUGAUGAUUGGGAGUAUUCUAAUCGGUGUUGUUUAACGAUCAUGAGGUAUCACAUGGAGGACUCUAUACAUGAUAGCAUUGCAAAGACUGAGACCGCUAAGGCAUUUCUAGAAGCUAUCAAUAAGAAGUACAAAAAGUUCUCCAAGAAUGAAAAGAAUGGGCUUCUAAGCACUCUACAUUCCACUAUUUAUGAUGGUAUUAGUGGAAUUAGAGAACACAUUGACAAGAUUGUGGCAUGUUAUUACAAGAUCAAGGCAAUUGGUAUGGAACUUGAUGAGGACUACGUUGUGUAUUUUAUAUGGGGACUCUUUCCUCACAGUUUGACUCCAUUAGAUCCAGUUACAAUGCUCAGAAAGAACAAUGGAUCAUAGAGGAGAUGACUGCCAUUCUUGCUAAGGAAGAGGAUGACAUGAAAAAGAGAAUGGAAAGAAGUGUGGCUAUGGUAACGAACCAGAACAACAAUGGUCAGAAAAGAAGGCCUCUACAAAAGAAUACCAAUGACAACAAGCCCUUCAAAAAACAUAACACGGGCAACAAAGGAAAAGGGCAAGGAGCCCCCUUAGCUUCCAAUGUUUCCAAGAAUGAGGGUUUUAAAGGAAAAUGCAAUUACUGCCAAAAGUUUGGGCACAAGAAGAUAGAUUGCCUGAAGCUCAAGGCCAUAAUGGAAAAGAAAAGAGAUGACAAGUUGAAGGGAACCAACUAGUAUGGAGCACCAUGUAAUUGCAGCUUACCAAUGGACAAUUUUUGGAGUUGUAUGUAGUUGCAUACAUACCUUCAAUUAGAAGGAAUUUAGUAUCUA